UACGAAGGGGGCUAGCGUUGCUCGGAAUUACUGGGCGUAAAGGGCGCGUAGGCGGUGGGUUACGUCUGCCGUGAAAUCCCCGGGCUCAACCUGGGAAUGGCGGUGGAAACGGGCUGACUGGAGUAUGGGAGAGGGUGAUGGAAUUCCAGGUGUAGCGGUGAAAUGCGUAGAGAUCUGGAGGAACACCAGUGGCGAAGGCGGUCACCUGGCCCAAUACUGACGCUGAGGCGCGAAAGCGUGGGGAGCAAACAGG
rnacentral:rRNA from 1 species